ACACGAGAAGGGAGGUGGUUCGGCAGAUGUACACAUACCGGACGCGUGAGGUGACUGCGGGCUAGCGGCCCGUUGUCGCGUCUCCCCGGCUUCGGCCGGGUCAAGCGUGGCGCCGGUCCGGUGCGGGGUUCCGCUCCGCACAGCCGGCCAAUCCCGAGCAGUCACCCGG
rnacentral:ncRNA from 1 species